GCAAACAGGAUUAGAUACCCUGGUAGUCCACGCCCUAAACGAUGUCGACUGGUUGUUGGGCAACUUGAUUGUUCAGUAACGAAGCUAACGCGAGAAGUCGACCGCCUGGGGAGUACGGUCGCAAGAUUAAAACUCAAAGGAAUUGACGGGGACCCGCACAAGCGGUGGAUGAUGUGGAUUAAUUCGAUGCAACGCGAAAAACCUUACCUACCCUUGACAUGUACGGAAGCCUGCUGAGAGGUGGGCGUGCCUGAAAGGGAACCGUAACACAGGUGCUGCAUGGCUGUCGUCAGCUCGUGUCGUGAGAUGUUGGGUUAAGUCCCGCAACGAGCGCAACCCUUGUCAUUAAUUGCCAUCAUUAAGUUGGGCACUUUAAUGAGACUGCCGGUGACAAACCGGAGGAAGGUGGGGAUGACGUCAAGUCCUCAUGGCCCUUAUGGGUAGGGCUUCACACGUCAUACAAUGGCCGGUACAGAGGGUUGCCAACCCGCGAGGGGGAGCCAAUCUCAGAAAGCCGGUCGUAGUCCGGAUUGUUCUCUGCAACUCGAGAGCAUGAAGUCGGAAUCGCUAGUAACCGCGGAUCAGCAUGUCGCGGUGAAUACGUUCCCGGGUCUUGUACACACCGCCCGUCACACCAUGGGAGUGGGUGAUACCAGAAGUAGGCAGUCUAACCGCAAGGGGGGCGCUUACCACGGUAUGAUUCAUGACUGGGGUGAAGUCGUAACAAGGUAACCGUA
rnacentral:rRNA from 1 species